rnacentral:rRNA from 1 species
AGUGAACGCUGGCGGUAGGCCUAACACAUGCAAGUCGAACGGCAGCACAGGAGAGCUUGCUCUCUGGGUGGCGGGUGGCGGACGGGUGAGGAGUACAUCGGAAUCUACUUUUUCGUGGGGGAUAACGUAGGGAAGCUUACGCUAAUACCGCAUACGACCUACGGGUGAAAGCAGGGGACCUUCGGGCCUUGCGCGAUUGAAUGAGCCGAUGUCGGAUUAGCUAGUUGGCGGGGUAAAGGCCCACCAAGGCGACGAUCCGUAGCUGGUCUGAGAGGAUGAUCAGCCACACUGGAACUGAGACACGGUCCAGACUCCUACGGGAGGCAGCAGUGGGGAAUAUUGGACAAUGGGCGCAAGCCUGAUCCAGCCAUACCGCGUGGGUGAAGAAGGCCUUCGGGUUGUAAAGCCCUUUUGUUGGGAAAGAAAUCCAGCUGGCUAAUACCCGGUUGGGAUGACGGUACCCAAAGAAUAAGCACCGGCUAACUUCGUGCCAGCCGCCGCAGUAA